AACAGGAGGAAUGAGGUUUAACACUUAAAUACUCCGGAUACUAGUACAUUGUGGCAAAACUCAAAUGGCAACGUAUUUACACUGAUACAUUCUUAUACUUACAGCUAUGCAUACACACACUUUCAUACUCACAUCCAUACACGAACCCCACCUUCAAUAGGUCUGAUCACAUACAAGGCCCCUGGUUUGGCCUCAUCUCCCUCACACUGGAGAGGCAAUCGAGGAGGCUACUUCCUUACAUCAAACUAGGCGUCGGUGCGGAGCUGAUGUGCUCUGGCAUUUCCAUCACAGAGCGUACUCUCCAAUUCUUACCCUCUCACUGUUAAUUCUCGUCCUCUGUCUACCUUGCGCCUUAUUUCUCUAUUUUUAUCUGUUUAUGUAGCCUAUCUUCCUUGGUCAUGCAUGUCUGUGAUAGAGACAGAGAUAAUAAGACUUUAUGGCAGACAACCGAGUUCUUAGAAUCAAAACAGCACUGUAGAACAGCGUGUAUAGUGUUAAUUGCAGUGUAGCCUAGAUUGCCUCUGGCUAUGUCAGAGGGAAUGUUUCUGUACUUGUAUCAGUACAUUUUAAGCUAAUAACAUAGACCUAACAAUUAUUGUAAAUGUGUGUUUACCUUGUGUUAUAAUAACCUAUGUAUAAUAUAAACGGUAGGACUGACUUCAUUCAUUAUAGGCUCCUGGUUGUAGUUAAUUACAUGUGAAAGCCCACAACAGCAUUGCUGUUAGAUGGCUUCAUUAAUUUAGUUAGCUAUACUAAAUUAAUAAUAGGCUAAAACUUGUCAUGUAUGGCUAGCUUUAUUCAAAAUAGCAGAACAUACCUGCCAGGCUACAAGUCAGCUCUCCCGCGCUGCCUCUCUUUACGCGAAAAUCGUCAUGCGGACUUGUGCCCUCGUGGAGAUUCAGUGCGGUGAAUAAAUAAUACUGAGGUAUUAAUUUUGUAUACUUCACUAGGCUAAAAGCAGCGUUUACUCGUUCAUUCGUGUCGGUCAACCACUGAAAACAUAAACGUGUCAAACUUUUGUCUGCCUCUUAUCCAUUUGGUGGAAUUUCAACCACGCUCCGGUCUCCGCGUCCCACGUCUCCUCCCAGUUCCCACCCCUCCUCGUGCACUUCUCCAAUCCCGCCUCUCAGUCACACAACAAGAGGAUAAUGGUGGUGUCUCGUUCCCUUAGCAACCAGUUGCUAUAGUAAUAUUCCUCGGUAAUUCAAAGUGUUGAUGAUGAUGAUGAAGAGUCCAGAUGUAUGACCACGACAGUUAGAUUAGGCUAGUUAUUCAAUCAAACACAUGUAUUUUACAAUUCGACCCUUAACCUAGGAAGAAACGUGUAUCUCAUAAACGUAUGUGUGCUGUUGCAGGUAGCCUACUCCAAAAAACAGAGGAUUCGCGAAAUCCACUUUUUGCAUAGUUGUAGGAGCUCCUCAGCAUUUUAGCUGCUGCACAUCUCGCAUUUCCCAACAACUUUACAGUAACUAGACGUUUGUUUCUAUGCGAAACGGCUGCGGCGCUUUUAGGAGUAGCCUUAGUUACAGCCCUUCCCGUACCGCGACCAAAAGAAAGCUCUACACACAUGCAAGAGGCAUUUCUCACUCAAUACCGAAAGUGGAUUGAAUCUUUUUCUGAAUAUUCUCUGUUUUUUGGAGUUCCACCUGCAACUGCACACAGGUGUUCAUACGAGACAUCGAAUCGAGAACAAAGAAAGUAUCGCCAAGGACAAGUAUGUGGAUGAGGAGGUUGGGCACCGGCCCUGUCUGGCUUUAAUCCCUUGGUCUGGACCUCUGUGGGUUCCCAGAUUUGCACAAUUGAGCAGCACAUUUUCAUCUCUCGUCCUGGCACGAUGGUAUGGGAUGAACUGUCCUUUCAGCUUGAAGAGGUAGACAUUCACCUGCAGGUUCAGCAGCAGCCCUGUCUGGCUUUAAUCUCUUGGUGUGGACCUCCGUGGGAUUCAAAUGCUCCUGUCAAACUGCAGCCAAUUUAUAACCUUCCCAUGCUGGGAGGAUGCUGGUGAGAGAGCUGGCAGUGCUAAACACACAGAUUUUCACAGUGGAGCAACCCGUUUAUUAUCUGUUUCACUCCUGCUAGGAGGAUGGUAUGGGAGGAACUGUCCGCUCAAAAUGAACAGUAUGUGGAUGAGGAGUUUGGACAGUGGACCUGUCUGGCUUUAAUCCCUUGGUCUGGACCCUUGUGUGUUCCUAUCUCCCCUGCCUUCUCCAAGGCCAAACCAGUCUACUACCUCACCCUUGCUGGGAGAAUGCUAGUAACAGAACUUGCAGUGUUAAACACACAGCCAAAUAGUGAAGACUCCUUUUCCUUACGAGAAGUUGCAGCUGGUUGAGAACUGGGCAAAAUUAAGAGGACAUGCAUCACCUGUGCAUUGUGAGGGGAGUGGAGAAACAGCUGUGGUGGAGCAGAGUCAUCCAGGAAAACGUCCUGGACCCAUGGGUGGUCUUCAACAACAAGGAGGUGACUGGUAUUAAGGUGCAGUCAAGCACUUUCUCACUUUCAUUUCACAAAAGUGGCAAAUGUCCAUUUACCUAUUUGAAUAAAUACAUGUUGACAGAAAAUGAAAUGAUACAUUCUAAUCUCUUGCCUCAUUUUUAUUUCCUUGGUAGAAGGAUCCAUGGCCUUGUCAAGAGGAGGUCAGAGUUCACCUAUUAUGAGGACGCCCAGGUUUAUUUCAGAGUUUGGUUGAGGGGCUCUCAAUAUGGUGGUUUUCAGUGUUGGGCUUGCAGUGUCACAUGUUGUGUUAAACAGCACGUGGAUAUCUCCACCACGGUGGAGCGGUUCCAGGAGAGGGGGGAUGAGAUGAUGGCAUAUCAACUCUCUACCUCUGACAUCAUCACCACCCCUCAUGAGCCUUCCUUCCCCAAUGAUUCUCUGCCACCCCCUCCGCCUCCCCUUUUCCCUUGUUAUUCCCCUCCCAGUCCGCCUCCACCUUACCACUCCACCCAGGACCGGGACCAGGCCCCUGACAGCACUCCUCAGGUAAAACUCUUUCUACAGUCAAUAACCCUUUUUUUCAUUUGUACUUGUGUGUACAGGUGUGUCUAAGUGUCAUUAUUUUGGUAUUGACAGGUUUGUAUUGUCUGUCAAGGGUCAAGUUGUUAGGUCAAGAUGAAAGUAUUGUCAUGAUGUCGCUGAAUGUUUUGUCUGCUUCAGUUGAUGUUGCAGGUGAAAUGCCGUUUAGUAGAGUUGAAGUUAAUGUGAUGUCUGUUUUAGGAGUUGAGGGGGAGUUUGUGGAGGAGCAAAAUAAUGUUGCAGUGGCGGGGUUACUUUGCAAACCAAGGGAAAACCAACUUCUCUCUGAGGCUAGCCGGUAUCUGACGUGGAGACUAUGACAUCCGCAGACAGUACCUCCCUCAAUUACCUCACACACGCUGGGAGGAUGGUGUUGAGCGGACUGUCCGAGCUCAACCAGCAGCUAACCAAUUUCAUAAUUAUAGUUCAUCAGACCAGAUAUAUAGUUCCCACUGGGCACAGGUGUCAUUUCAAUGUCUGGUUUUGAUUUACAUUUGGUUGAGUUGUCAACUAAUGUGAAUUCAAUGUGAAAUCCCACCCAAACAUUUACGUAAUUAGAUUUAGGUUAAAAGUUGGGUGAAAAUGUCACGUCCUGACCAGUAUAAGGGGUUAUUGGUUAUUGUAGUUUGGUCAGGACGUGGCAGGGGGUAUUUGUUUUAUGUGGUUCAGGGUUUAUUGGGAUAUGUAUUUAUGUAAGAGGGGUGUUUGUUUUAUGUGUUCCGGGGUGUUUGGGUAAUGUUCUUGUUUUGUAUUUCUAUGGUUUUCUAUGUUGUGUAUUUCUUUGUUGGCCUGGUAUGGCUCUCAAUCAGGAACAGCUGUACAUCGUUGUUUCUGAUUGGGAGUCAUACUUAGGUAGCCCUUUUUUCACCUGUGGUUUGUGGGAAGUUGUUGUUGCAUAGCUGUGUGUAGCCUGCAAUACUGUUCGUUAAGUGUUCUAAAUAAAGUUAAGAGGAGCACUCAACCCGCUGCGCCUUGGUCCAUUACGUACGACAGCCGUUACAGAAAAGACGAAAUUUCCUUACGUUGAUGACUUCUUUCAAAUCCAAUCAGUUUUCCACAUUGAUUGAACAUCAUCACAUUUACAUUUUCUAUUGAUGUGACAUGGAAACAACAUUGAUUCAACCUGUUUUUGCACGGUGGGUCACCUUUAGGCAGUGAUUCCUAGGGUUUAGUUGAAAAGUUUCAACGUCAUACAAGCCAAACAGAGGUCCUCUGAAUUACAAACCUGAAUCUUUGAGUUUAUGAUAAAAUGAAGGAAUUUUAUGAUUGUUUUGUUUUCAGGAUGUGAGGCUGUUUCAGCAGGUGUACGACCUCUUGGGGAGCUUCAUUAAUGAGCCAGCAAACGGAGCGACCUGAG
rnacentral:lncRNA from 1 species